GGAAGAAAAAAAAAAAUAAUUAAAAACCAAUUGUUCAGAGAACAAUUGAAGGUCUUUCCACUAGUAAAGAUCUAUUUUGAUAUUGAAAUAUGAAAAUCAGUUUAAAAUGUUAGUUCCUAUGGCUUUAUGAUGUAUUUAUAUGAAUUUAAAGCAAAGGUCAAAAUCUAGAAACGUCCUUAUUAACCUAUGACCUUGACCUCAAUUUCAAGGUCAAACCAAGGACCUUAAAUCAAAGAGACCCUAGGUCUUAAUAUGUAUUGGUUAAUGAGUAAUAUCACUUUACGCGGCGUAAUUCUAAAUGUAAGAUGGGCAAAAACUUCCAUUUAUUGUUUACGCACCCUUUCCAACCAAAAUUAUACAAGUAAGGAUGUCGCAACUAACAAUUUAUGAAAAAAAAUUAUUUGUCAAUAUGUCAUACGGUUAUUUGAAAAUAAAGUGAAAAUAAGCCAAAAUCAAAAAAAAUUUAGAAUAUGACCUUGACCUUUGACCUUGACCUUUUUCAUUUUUUUGGACCAAGGAAACUUAAAUACCCUAGGUCCCUAUCUACUAUCAUGGUUUACCAGUUAGAAUGCACGCAUAUCACUUAUAUCAAUAAAAAAGGGGGAAAUAACUCUCAUAUGGAGUCUCCGGAUAGCUUCGGUCCAAAAAUGAAUAUCCUAAUCCUGAAGAUGUAACGAGCAAUUUGGUAAAAUAAAAUUUGUCGUAAUCUUUUUACGGUUGCGAAGGAGUAGUGGCCACAAGAAAAACAGUGUUUGGGGAGAUAACUCUUACAACGUAAAGUAUUUUGUUACGCGGUUGUAAAUUUUUAAAGCGUAUAAACUAUACGAUAUCAUAUUCCAAAUAUCUAAGCGACAUCUUAUUGAAACAACAAUACUACGCAAGAAAAAAAUUAGGCGGAAGAAAAAAAAAUAAUAAUUAAAAACCAAUUGUUCAGAGAACAAUUGAAGGUCUUUCCACUAGUAAAGAUCUAUUUUGAUAUUGAAAUAUGAAAAAUCAGUUUAAAAUGUUAGUUCCUAUGGCUUUAUGAUGUAUUUAUAUGAAUUUAAAGCAAAGGUCAAAAUCUAGAACGUCCUUUUAACCUAUGACCUUGACCUCAAUUUCAAGGUCACAAACCAAGGACCUUAAAUCAAAAGACCCUAGGUCUUUAAUAUGUUUGGUUAAUGAGUAAUACCACUUUACGCGUAAUUCUAAAUGUAAGAUGGACAAAAACUCCCAUUUAUUGUAUGCGCACCCUUUCAACCAAAAUAUACAAGUAAGGACAUGUCGCAACUAACAAUUUAGGAAAAAUAUUUGUCGAUAUGUCAUACGGUAUUUGAAAAUAAGUGAAAAUAAGCCAAAAUCAAAUUUUAGAAUAUGACCUUGACCUUUGACCUUGACCUUAUUUUCAUUUUUUUGGACCAAGGAUCUCAAAUCAAGAGACCCUAGGUCUCUAUCACUUAUGGUUUACCAGUUAGAAACGCAUAUCACUUAUAUCAAAUACAUAAGGGGGAAUAACUCUCAUAUGGAGUCUCCGGAUAGCUUCGGUCAAAAUAAAAAUCCUAAUCCUGAAGAUGUAACGAGCAAUUUGGUAAAAUAAUUUUGUCGUAAUCUUUUACGGUUGCGAAGGAGUAGUGGCCACAAGAAAAACAGUGUUUGGGGAGAUAACUCUUACAACGUAAAGUAUUUUGUUACGCAGUUGUAAAUUUUUAAAGCGUAUAAACUAUACGAUAUCAUAUUCCAAAUAUCUAAGCGACAUCUUUUUAAACAACAAUACUACGCAAGAAAAAAAUUAGGCGGAAGAAAAAAAAAAAAUAAUAAUUAAAAACCAAUUGUUCAGAGAACAAUUGAAGGUCUUUCCACUAGUAAAGAUCUAUUUUGAUAUUGAAAUAUGAAAAAUCAGUUUAAAAUGUUAGUUCCUAUGGCUUUAUGAUGUAUUAAAUAUGAAUUUAAGCCAAAGGUCAAAAUCUAGAACGUCCAAUUAACCUAUGACCUUGACCUCAAUUUCAAGGUCACAAACCAAGGACCUUAAAUCAAAAGACCCUAGGUCUUUAAUAUGUUUGGUUAAUGAGUAAUAUCACUUUACGCGUAAUUCUAAAUGUAAGAUGGGCAAAAACUCCCAUUUAUUGUCUGCGCACCCUUUCAACCAAAAUAUACAAGUAAGGACAUGUCGCAACUAACAAUUUAGGAAAAAUAAUUUGUCGAUAUGUCAUACAGGUAUUUGAAAAUAAGUGAAAAUAAGCCAAAAUCAAAAUUUUAGAAUAUGACCUUGACCUUUGACCUUGACCUUAUUUUCAUUUUUUUGGACCAAGGAUCUCAAAUCAAAAGACCCUAGGUCUCUAUCACUUAUGGUUUACCAGUUUAGAAAUGCAUAUCACUUAUAUCAAUAUAUAAAGGGGGAAUAACUCUCAUAUGGAGUCUCCGGAUAAGCUUCGGUCCAAAUGAAAUCCUAAUCCUGAAGAUGUAACGAGCAAUUUGGUAAAAUAAAAUUUGUCGUAAUCUUUUACGGUUGCGAAGGAGUAGUGGCCACAAGAAAAACAGUGUUUGGGGAGAUAACUCUUACAACGUAAAGUAUUUUGUUACGCAGUUGUAAAUUUUUAAAGCGUAUAAACUAUACGAUAUCAUAUUCCAAAUAUCUAAGCGACAUUGUUUGAAACAUCAAAACUACGCGCAAGAAAAAAAAUUAGGCGGAAGAAAAAAAAAAAAUAAAAAUUAAAAACCAAUUGUUCAGAGAACAAUUGAAGGUCUUUCCACUAGUAAAGAUCUAUUUUGAUAUUGAAAAUAUUAAAAAUCAGUUUAAAAAUGUCAGUUCCUAUGGCUUUAUGAUGUAUUUAAUAUGAAUUUAAAGCAAAGGUCAAAAUCUAGAACGUCCUAUUAACCUAUGACCUUGACCUCAAUUUCAAGGUCACAAACCAAGGACCUUAAAUCAAAAAGACCCUAGGUCUUUAAUAUGUUUGGUUAAUGAGUAAUAUCACUUUACGCGUAAUUCUAAAUGUAAGAUGGGCAAAAACUCCAUUUAUUGU
rnacentral:lncRNA from 1 species